AUUGAACGCUAGCGGUAUGCCUUACACAUGCAAGUCGAACGGAGUGGCGAACGGGUGAGUAAUGUAUCGGAACGUGCCCAGUAGCGGGCGAUAACUACGCGAAAGCGUAGCUAAUACCGCAUACUAGUGGAGCGGCCGAUAUCGGAUUAACUAGUUGGUGGGGUAACGGCUCACCAAGGCGACGAUCCGUAGCUGGUUUUAGAGGACGACCGGCCACACUGAGAAUGAGACGCGGCCCGGACUCCACCGGGAGGCAGCAGUGGGGAAUUUUGGACAAUAGGGGAAACCCUGAUCCAGCCAUCCCGCGUGGGCGAUGAAGGCCUUCGGGUUGUAAAGCACUUUUGGCAGGAAAGCGGUACCUGCAGAAUAAGCACCGGCUAACUACGUGCCAGCAGCCGCGGUAAUAC
rnacentral:rRNA from 1 species